rnacentral:rRNA from 1 species
AUGAUUCUAAGUAUAUAAAGAAAUUAUUAGGGAGCCUUAGCUAUAUAUUAAAAGGUGUUAAUUUACAGGGGCAAUGUCUCUUUCUUGUGGAAACACAAGAAACAGCAAAAGAAUCAAACCUGGGAAGAAAUUCCAUAAAUUAAACGAAGUGAAAUGAAAUAUCAAAGUAACUUUAGGAACAAAAAUCAAACGAGAUUAAUAGUCAUAAAAAGUAAAACGAAAGGCCAUGCCCAAAUUUGUUUGAAUAAAGGGGAACCUUCCUCUAAGACUAAAUAUAAUAUAUAAGCGAUAGCAUAAUGUACCGUGAGGGAAAGGCGUCAAAAAUAGUAAUUUUAUAAGUAGCUCCAGUAGAUUUUAAAUAAUUGAUAAGAGCGUACCUUUUGCAUAAUGGGUCAGCAAGUUAAUGUUAGAUGCGAGAGUUUGAAAACUUACUUUUAUUAUAUAUGCCCCAGUAUAUAAUAAAUAAAAUAGUUUUUCAUUUCGUAGAUAAACCGAUUAUUAAACAAUGAGUUAGUAUCUAAUGUUAGACCCGAAACCUAGUGAUCUUACCAUGGUCAGGAACAAUAAACCUAACUUUCUUAUAAAAGAGUUUAAACCUGCAAAGAAAAAUGUAUUUUUAUUUACUGAUCCUAAGUGAAAAUAAAAUUUCCUUGUGAAAUUUGAGCAAAAUAUAAUUAAGUUUUAAUAAAAAGUCCGAACGGGUUAUCGUUGUAAAGAUAUCCGAUGAACUGUGGUAAGUUAGUGAAAGACAAAACUGACUAGGAUAGCUGGUUUUCCGCGAAACCUAUUUAAGUAGGUAAUUCAAAUAACAUCAUAGCAGGUACAGAACUGUGAUCUCAGGCAAGAUAUAUAACUUGAUAAAAGGAGAGGACAGGAGAUUCCUGUCCUUUUCCUAAACAUCAGGUCUUUUUUGCAUACAUCGGGGGGUCGUAGAGACUUUAUCGGUGAGGAUUUGCUCUCGGAAGGGCAAUGAUGAAAACCCUUUUUCUUGUCGCGAGACACUAAAGAGUCUUUUUAAUUUUGAAUAAACCGACAUAGAACGCUAAGGUUGUAUGUCUAAAGGGAAACAGCCCAGAACAAGCGUUUAAGGUUCCAAAAUUAUUGUUAAGUGAAAAUAAGGAGGUUUUUAUACCAAUACUACCAGGAAAUAGGCUUAGAAGCGGCCAUUUUUUGAAGACCUCGUAACAGAGCACUGGUUAAUUAUGAAAAUAAGGCUGGGGGCGUAGCCCUUUAGCCGUUUUCUAGAUAAAAGCACCGAUAAUAUAACGGAUCUAAACAAUAUACCGAAACCUUGUCUAUAUGUAACUGUACUAUCAAAAAAAAGUGUAGUGACAUAUUGGGUAGCGGAACGUUGGGUAAGUAAAAGGAGCUACUCUUUUCAAGAGUAACAGCCAUGCGUCUUCAUUAUUCCCUUCCCUUUAGGGAAGGGAAUGGUGAGGGUGUUAAUAAAACAUCCCAAGUGAGAAUGCUGACAUGAGUAACGAAAAAAAGAAGCAUCUUUCGCCUAAAGCUUAUGGUAGGGUUCAUACCCAAUAAAGUAACGGCCUCUAAGUUUAUUAACUUUACCUAAAGGACUAAAUGAUGAGUAAAUUCUUUUAAUAUACUUCCAACAACAGUGAAAUUAGAAUCAUUUUUAAUUUCAAAUAUAACUGAGGUUCAGGAAAAGGAUAUUAUUGAUAACCGUACCUAGAAACUACCGCAAGUAAGCUAGUAGAGAAUACGAAGGCGUUUGAGAUAACAAUCAUUAAGGAACUCGGCAAAUUGACACCGUAACUUCGGGAUAAGGUGUGCCAUUUACUUAUAGUGUACUGGGCGAGAAAGGGAAAAUUUUUCCCUAUUAUUGCCGUUUACAGUAUCGUAUAUAAAGAGGAGACAUAAAAAGGUGUUGUACGACUGUUUAAUUAAAACAAAGCACUUUGCAUAAGAUGUUAAGUCAAAGUAUUGAGUGUGAUGUCUGCCCUAUGUUGGCUGGUUAACGGAUUUUCUUAGUAGAAUAAUAAUAAAGGCUAGGUUUUGAAGGAUACCCCAAUAAAUGGCGGCCUUACCUAUGAGGGUCCUAAGGUAGCGGAAUACCCUGGCCGAUAAAUACGGUCUUGCAUGAAUGAUGUAACGAUACAACAGCUGUCUCGAUGAUUGACUCAGUGAAAUUAUAAUAGCAGUGCAGAUACUGCUUACCUCUAGUUAGACGAGAAGACCCUAUGCAGCUUUACUGUUGCUAGUUAUUGGAUAUGAUAUGACUAGUUUUAGCGUAUAAGGAAGUUGGUAUGAUACAAUUGAAACACCUUUACUUUGUCUGUCAUAUAUUCAUAUUGUUGUUUACUAAGGGAAAGGGGAAUUCCCCUUUCCUCUUACAAUAGCAUAUAAUAGCUUAUUCCAAAAAAAAAUGUAAAUUAAUACACUAUAAAGGCCUAUGGCCUCCCUAUAGAAACGUAUAAUUUCCAGGAAGACAGUUGCUAGUAGAUAGUUUAUGCGGGGCACAGAUCCCAUAAAAAGUACCUGGGUAUAUCCAAAGUUAAUUAAGUAGAUUUGUUAUUAGAAAAUAACAACUAAGGAAAAGCAAUCAAGUUUGUUAGGCCGAAAGCCACAAGCUUGGGGUUUUUCUUUUUUAUAUUAGUUUGACAUAUAAUAAGAUCACGUAACGCUAUUCCCAUUCCCUUUAGGGAGGGAAGGCGAGUGGUCAAAUAAUAUAUUCAUUUACAUAUCUUUUAAGUUUGAGUUUUUAUUUCAUUUAAGUAAGAUUUUAACUAUAUAGAAAAUAGUUGUAAGCAAAUCAUUAAUAUUUAUAAAAGUAAAGGCAAGGCAGUGUCCUUGCCCUCUUAUAAAAGUAGUGAUUACUAGUUUUUGUAUUUCUUUUGUUUAGAAAUACAAUGAUAAUUAUACUUACUUACAAAGUUUAAUGGCUUAAUCUUGCUUUACUGUUUGACUUACAGGUCUAUCA